UACGAAUGGGGCUAGCGUUGCUCGGAAUCACUGGGCGUAAAGCGCACGUAGGCGGACUCUUAAGUCGGUGGUGAAAUCCUGGAGCUCAACUCCAGAACUGCCUUCGAUACUGAGAGUCUCGAGUCCGGGAGAGGUGAGUGGAACUGCGAGUGUAGAGGUGAAAUUCGUAGAUAUUCGCAAGAACACCAGUGGCGAAGGCGGCUCACUGGCCCGGUACUGACGCUGAGGUGCGAAAGCGUGGGGAGCAAACAGG
rnacentral:rRNA from 1 species